GGACUACAAGGGUAUCUAAUCCUGUUUGCUCCCCAUGCUUUCGUGCCUCAGUGUCAGUAUCUGUCCAGGAAGUCGCCUUCGCCACUGGUGUUCCUUCCGAUAUCUACGCAUUUCACCGCUACACCGGAAAUUCCACCUCCCUCUACAGUACUCGAGUCAGACAGUCUUAAGCGCAAUUCCCAGGUUAAGCCCAGGGCUUUCACACCUAACUUAUCAAACCACCUACGCACCCUUUACGCCCAGUAAUUCCGAUUAACGCUUGCACCCUCUGUAUUACCGCGGCGGCUGGCAC
rnacentral:rRNA from 2 species